UCUAACGUCAUAAUUUUAUACGUCCAUUAAAACAAGUAACAGUGCAUAAAAUUUUGCAGUACACUAUUUCGUAGACAUAAAUUGGUCUGAUUGAUCUAGGGUGAAACACUGUUUUAUUUAACAAAGCAUACGUCGUCAUACAGUCGUCUUCAUGAAAUCCAGUUUUUAAUUUUUUGACCUGUGGUAUUAGUACCUUGAUAUAAUGUGGACUUAGUGUGCAUUGCUGUCUCCCGGUGAGAGGUUCCAACAGUUAGUGCAAGUUAACCUACUCUUCAACAGAAAUCUGAAAUUCUGAGUCACCGAAAAAGAACCUAAAGGUCCAGCUUGUCACCACUCCGAAUGGUUGAGAUGGAACGGACCUUAUGAACCAUGGCAGAUCACAAAUCACUAAUUCUUUUCUUGAGAUACAGGAGGGGUCUUAUUGUUAUAAAAGUUUCCACUGGCUUGAAUUGUAUUGUUAUAAAUAAAUAUAAAAAAUGAUAAGUCACUA